CAAGAUCGAAAUAGGUUCGUAGUUAAAAAAAAUUUGAAUUAAAAAAAAUUUUAAGUUGUAAUUUUCGUUCUCUCUCUUGUAAUAGUGAUAUUGUGAAGUAUUAAAAAAAGACAAAAAAUACGAAAUUAAAAAAAAAGAAGGAAAGUGUGUGAUCAAGAUCUAUUCUUUUGUUUACAUUUUUGUUCCGACCUUCAAUCUUUC
rnacentral:lncRNA from 1 species